GCUUGUCUCAAAGAUUAAGCCAUGCAUGUCUAAGUACAAGCCUCAGUAAGGUGAAACCGCGAAUGGCUCAUUAAAUCACACCUAAUCUACUGGAAAGUUACUAGUUACUUGGAUAACUGAGGUAAUUCUUGAGCUAAUACAUGCGAAAAAUCUCGACUCACGGAGAGAUGCUUUUAUUAGAUCAAAACCAAACGGCUUCGGCCGUCUCAUUGGUGACUCUGAAUAACUUUUCGGAUCGCAUGGCGCAAGCCGGCGACGUUUCAUUCAAAUUUCUGCCCUAUCAACUUUCGAUGGUAAGGUAUUGGCUUACCAUGGUUACAACGGGUAACGGAGAAUUAGGGUUCGAUUCCGGAGAGGGAGCCUGAGAAACGGCUACCACUUCCAAGGAAGGCAGCAGG
rnacentral:rRNA from 1 species